rnacentral:ncRNA from 2 species
AUCUUUCUGGAGUACCUCUCCUCCCUGGGGGAGUCCCUGUUCCGAGGUGAGGCCUACAACCUCUUUGAACACAAUUGUAACACCUUCAGCAACGAAGUGGCACAGUUCCUGACUGGGCGGAAGAUUCCUUCUUACAUCACAGACCUGCCCUCUGAAGUUCUCUCCACGUAAGUGUGGCCUCUGUCCCUGCCCCUGCCUUGGCCAACCUUGAAAAUCCCCAUUCACGGUCAGUGCCCUUCCUCUGGCCCCCAUCUGCCCUCCCAACCAGGUGGGCCUGCCCUGAUGGCAGAUUCUAACACAGAAGGCUGCCAUUCUCUCCACCCACUGAUGCGCACCUGUAUUACCUCCACCUUCAGAGCUAGACCAGCUCUGCCCUGGCCUAAGUGCAACCACAGAACUUAGACACCCACUUGACACUGGCUUCAGUACUUGCACAAAAUUCUGGCGUCUG